GAGACAGCUUAGGGUUUUUAUUUGCAGUUGAAAGUGCCUCAUGUAUGACUUACAAGCUGAUAGCCAAGAGGAGAGUAAAAUAGUUAUCACAUCAGAAGAUACAGGCUAAUAUAAAUGAGAUGCAACAGACUAUUUCCUGCUUGUAUUAAAAGUAACACAGCAAAACAGGAAACGAUUUCACUCGGUGCAUAACAGAUUGAAAAUAUGCCUCAAAUCUUAUCAAUGUCACAUUUAGAAAACGUCUACAAAACCUGACAGGUGUUUUCAGAUAUUGACUGCAGCUCAUAAUCUGAAAAAAAAAACAACUUCACGAUGCCACAUUAACAUCCACGUUUUCAUCACUCAUUUGGAUGCGUGAAACAAAAGCGUAAGAAUGCACCAAGCUUGUGGUUGUCCAGCUGUGGUAGAUUGUAGUUUUUAGAAAACAGAUUCACGUGACAUGAGUGAAACCCGCUGAGUUUGAGCAGAUGUUACUGAUCAGCUUUCAGUCAGAGGAUUUAGGAAGAGACAACACUGCGGUUGUCUUUUCUCACGUCCCUCUAUACAUUGCUCCUUAACUCUGUGAUAUUUUCAAUCAAAGUUAAGUAGAUAGUAAGAGACAUAAGGCACAUGUUUAGACCACUUGAACCCAACCCUUAGCUGUGAUGGGUCAAGUGUCUCCAAGGGCCCAUUUCGCAUGCUACUUAUAAAGCAAAGGCACCAAAGUGUUAAUCCUUUUGCUAAGGCCAAUGCAUGUACGGAUGGCAGAGAAUUUUUUUUUCAUUGUCAACAUAUUGAUACUGGUGGAAAAAUGCCAAACAGUAAGAGUUGAAUGACAAUGUUUUUUUUUUUAAAUACAGGUAUUUAUUGUAAUAUUGUGAAUUAGCUAAUGCCUUAGUAUUUACAAGAAUAUCACCAACCCAUGAAAAUCCACCUAUGUACUCAAAUGCUUGAUUUUUAAGCAGACUGGAGACUGACCAGAAUGAACAGAACCAAAGGCAUGGUAUAUUUCCUCCACCACAUCACCAUUAACCAGCAAAAUAAUGAACAUUUUAUUAACCUCCAAAAUGGCUGACCACAGAAGAAUCUCAUAUACUAAUCCAUAUGCACCAUAUUGCAGUUUGCUUUGCUCUGUUAAUCUGAGAUGUGCAACUCAACGCCUUGCUAUAGUAUGCAGAGAGAAGCUGUGACAUGCCUUUUCAAGCUUGAGCCAAAUCAUCCAGUGAUCUGUGCCAGACUUAAUCUUAAGUCAAGCAGACUAAUACGUUAUGCCGCGCGAUGCUUUGCUGUGCUUUACCGCACCAUGGUCCUCCAUGCUGAGCUGUGCAGAACCAUACCACGCUGCGCUGAAAUGGGAUUUUUCAUGUAAUGCACCAGCUAUACCUUAACUGUGUCGUCCCGUAUCCCUCCCUCCCUGAGAACCGAGGGUGCUGGCAUUGCUGCAGUGCUAACUUCCACACGCUCUGGUGAUUAGGACAAUAAAAGUCUUUAAUGAGCAUUUUGGAACAAAGCCACAGCCGUUUUGCGAGCCCUAAAAACGGUUUAACAGCAACUCUGACUCAAUGAACCAUCUACAGUGCUGGAAAUAUACAGCCAUUGGCAAAGUGUUGUAAAGAUUGUAUAACAGCAUCUUUUUUAGGUAAAAGUAAUAGCUGUGUCAAAUUGUGGCAUGUCACCUGUUGGAAAUGAGAAACAAAAGCACUAAUUGCUGUUUUUACCCCAGCCCCAGCUCUCUACAGGGUUUCUACGUAGAACAGGUGGCUGCAGUGGCAAACAUAAUUGUUAUACUAAUGCUGUUUGGUUUACACCUUCUCUCUUAGUGCUGCACAUUAAGCAGCUCAGAAUUAACACAGAGCAAUUUUCUGAGCUUUAGUUCUCGCUGCUGUACCACAAUGGUUGAAAAAAAAAAGUGACUUAUUUGUUCCUUUAAAGUGUGUCAAAGCCAUAAUGAUUAAAAUGCACAUUUCUACUGCUUUUUAUAUGUAAUUAUGACAUAGUUUAUAACUUGUGUCAUCAUAAUUUUGUUUUACAACCUAAAUUACAAACAAAGUUGGGGGACUAUGUAAAACAUCCAUGAAAACAGAAUUUAAUGACUAACAAAUCACUGGAAGUGGUAAACCACAUCAAAGCCAGCAACCAUAAUGGUAUGGGGAUGCUUAAGUGUUCAUGAUAAAGUACUCUUAAACAUCUGGGAAGGCACUACUAAUGUAGAACGAUUUAUUCAUAUAUGUUCGAAGGGGUGUAAAGGCCCAUGUAUUUGUACUGGACUAUUUAUGUAUGGGAUUUAUGGUGGGAGCCAUAUGUACUAAACUGAAAGCAUGUGGAAUAAAAAGUGCAUGAAAUCCAAGCUUCUGUAUGGCUGGAAGAUGGGAAUGGACUGCAGCCUGCACAAGACAUAAUAAGCAAGAACUAGAAGACCCCCCACAGACAUUAAGCUCUCCUGUCUGUGAACACAACGGUUUGCAAUGUGAUAAUGUACAAAAACAAGUGGAUAUGACAAAAGCAGUUCACUGACACUGUUCGGUGGUAGUUGGGUACGUCGCUGACAUUAUAUCAAACUUGUUAACACAUUUGAAGCUGCAACAUCAGUUUUGGGUAGUAUCACGUUACUAGUAACGCCGUUAUGUAAGGCCAUAACUUUAUUCAGUAACUAAUCAUGAAACGUAACUAAUCAUGUUACUUACACUGUUUCUUUUGGUGAGGAUUACAAUGGCACACAAUUCCCGUAGCAUUUUAGCGAUCAAUAAAGGUUAAUUGAAAAAAAAAAAAAAGCACUUGUCACUCUCCAGUGUCACGCAUGUAAUCAAACACGCCAUGAAGAGGACUGGACAGGUCAGGGAACGGCAUGAUGCUCAUAUUAUAUUUGAACUUGAGAGCAAAGGGAAAAACAACAUUUCGGUAACACGUAACCUGUGUCCCUGGUCAAAAAUCCUUUCUACAGCAAACUUCUGAAGCACCUAGAGGAGCGGCAUGCUUCGACAAAGUUGGCAGCUAAGGUAUCUAACGCUAACGCAGAAUCUGAGACGAAGAGUCACAGCAGUGAGAACACACCCACUCCACCUGAGCAGCAGAGUUCGAAAGACAGACCCAUAGCCUGGCACAACUUGAUCAAACAAUAGCACAGUAUGUUUAAUUGUUUAUUUGGAUCUCUUGUAGCACUAUCAGGCUAUUAUUGCAAGAGUCCCAUGAUAAAAUGUAGGUGUUAGUGUCAAGGUUUGUGUUGGUGCACAACAGAUCAUAUUGCUUUAAUAAUUAGAUUCAGUGACGUGGAUGUAAAUGAACUGAAGCGGUUGUUUUAAUCAACAGUUUGUUUUAUUCAGCAACAGUACAGAACUGAAAUGAUGGUUAGAGGGGAACUCAAUCAAUCCAUCGUUUUUGUAAUGGGAGCAUUGGAGGAACUAUCAGUUUACAGGAACUAAAUAGUUUCUCUCUCAGUAACACAUCACUUUUUGGUUUAAAUAAUUAAGUUACUGAGCUACUUUUUUUACAAAGUAAAUCAGUAACUUUGACUAGUUACUACUUUUCGGUAAGUAGCACAACACUGUGCACCAUACAGACAUAAACAUUACUGCCUGAAAUACUAUAGUCAUACCAGCUCUAACAAAAGCACAGAGACUCUUUGUGUUGCGCAUGUUUCCCUUACUGUACUGAAAAUAAAUCAAACCAUGACUUCAAAACCGAGAUACGCACUAAACUAUGAUACUGUAACAUAUGCUGCCAUCCAGAUGACACCAUUCUCAGGGAAGACCUUGCCUAUUUCUGCAAGAAACUGCCAAAACUACACUCUGCAUCUAUUACAACAGCAUGGCUUUGAAGGCCGUUAAGAGUCUCAACUUCUUUGGGAUUGAGGUUACACAAGAAAGCGCUCAUUUGUCUUUGAACGUCUGAUCCGUCAUCUAAAAGUAAUCAAAAGUAUGAUGUAUUUUCAGGAGUUUCACACAUUAUUUAGUCCAGUCAUGUCUCAAUAAAUCAAAGGAUUUCUCUCUGCUUUUUUGUUCUCCUUAUGGAUUUGAAGAAGACAGCAGAGAGUGCUGGUACGCUUUCACUGAAUCAUCACUUUCUAAUUUGGGAAGCCACACAUCUGCUACUAAUUAACGAGACUGAUUGAAUCUAGGCUUUUACACACACAUGCACACAGGCAGACGCCAGACACACAGGCACACACCCGUUCCCACAUGAUCAUUACAGAGAGGAAAAGUGCCACUCUGAUUGGGCACACUCAAGUAUUGAUAGUGUUUAUGGUGAAAAUACUUAUGAAAUGGGUUGUACGUUCAGCUCCUUAUAGAUCUUUUAAUGACAGGAUGUGGGCAUUAUGGGAAGACAAUCAUGCACCAAGCAACAAUGAGAUGCAGGUCUUGGAAUGGAAGUAUUUAUCUCUCUGUCUAAUUAUAAGCAAUAUAUCUCAUUUACAUAGCCUGGAAAUGGAAGAAGCCUUUUUUAUGAAGCCAGAAUGCUAUUCAGAGACUCAGUCUGUGUGGCGUAAUCACAGAAGUUAUUGCAUUAAUCACAAUUUACAGUUUGCUUUUAAGAUGUUUUUCUCAAGAGGCAACACAUUAUCGGUACAUCUAGUGCAGAGUAACUUCAAACAGUUUCAAAUAACAGUUGAGUGCUCACUGCUCUUGUCUUUGUUUACACUGUAGAUUUUCAUCUGUUUACUUCCAACUCAAACUGUCAUCCUUGGUAUUAGAGUACUGUUUUUCUUUGCAUGUUUCAUAUGUUCAUGAAAAUGUGUACCAUUUUUCUACAUGAAGCAAAGAACAUCAAUCUACACAAACACACAGUUGGGUUUCUCCUGGCUGACACUUGAUAUUGACACACACGCGCUAGUAAUUGCACCUCUGAAUACCAUCUUGUUAUCUGUUUGAGUGCUUUAACAGCUUUAACUAUUACCAGUCUUUUGUACUGUAUCAAAACAUCUGUACAUGAACACAUAGGUUAUCAAGCUUAUUGCAGUACAUGAAUAGACGAGUUAAAAUCUCUGUAAUGCCAAACAUGUGCAUACAAACAUACAUGCGCUUUGUCAGGAUAACAACUUGAGAUUUGAAUUGUUUGUUCAAAUUCUUCUUUCUUGUAGGACUAUGUGCCUUUUGUUGUACUUGCUGUGUGACCUCUUUUUACUCUCACGGUUCUGAUUUAGAUUAGAUCAGAUUAGAUAAAAUACUUUAUUUAUUAUCAUGUUAUGUACAGUAAUAUACAGGAUAAGUGAGUGAAAAAAUGAACAAUAUAUUGGCUGGAUAUCAGUAUGGGGAUGUUGGCUCUGUUUACAGAUAUCAGCCUUCUGGAAAUAAGAACAAACUAGGGCCCCGGUGGGGCACUGUCGGGCCCGAGCCGCGUCGCGCCGCCCCCAGCGCGACCGCCUCCCCCUCCCGAUCGCGUCACACUCAAGGUCCAAAGAUGGUGUGCGCACUUGUCUGUGGUCAUUUCCCAUUAUAAUGAAUGGGAGGCGCAGUUUCUACCAAAACGCUCGCUGCAGACAAACUACAUGUCCUAUUUGAAAAAAGUCUGGACCAUGAGUGAGGGCACAAACACAGCUAGUAUAUAUCCAAAUGGCAAGUUGCUCCUCCUUUCGGUUUUGCAGAGAGAGCGAUGCGUUUGAGCCAUUGAGCGAUGGGCAGGAAAAACUUGACUUUUUCUCCUGCCAUGGGGGGGCGCUCUUUUGGGGUGAAAAAAUUCCUUCACAAAUGUGUUGAUGGCUGGACAUUGCAUCAUCCUAGAAAACUUGGAGGCCAGUGAGGACAAAAAUAAAAAGUUAUAAGACUUUUAAAAAUGUGGAUAUUUGGGUCCUCUUUGGCGCCCCCUAGAACGUAAACUGUGGGGUGCAGCGUCAUGAUUUGUACAACUUUGAAUGGCCAUGGGGUGUAGAUUGACCUGAGCAAAUUUGAAGCCGAUGGGACAAAAGAUUUAGGAGGAGUUAGCGAAAUUCCAAUGUGUGCAGAUCGGCAAAAAAUGCGAAAUAACCCUUUAACCGUACAUUUGACAGAUACGCCCGCACUGACUUUUUUGUAGAUCUUAUUGAGAUACAUGUGUGUGUCAAAUUUUGUGUCAUUUUGACAAAGCAUAAAGGCGUGACAGUCAACAAUGUGUAUUUUCGCCUUAGGAGACAAGAAAAAAUGGACUUUUUUCUCCUGCCAUGGGGGGCGCUCUUUUGGCGAGUAAAAAUUCCUUCACAAAUGUGUUGAUGGCUGGACAUUGCAUCAUCCUAGAGAACUUGGAGGCCAGUGAGGACAAAAAUAAAAAGUUAUAAGACUUUUAAGACUGUGGAUUUUUGGGUUAUCUUUGGCGCCCCCUAGAACGUAAACCGUGGGGUGCAGCGUCAUGAUUUGUACAACUUUUAAUGGCCAUGGGGUGUAGAUUGGCCUCAGCAAAUGUGGUGCCUUUGGAACGAAAGCCUUCGGAGGAGUUAGCGAAAUUCCAAUGUGUGCGGAUCGGCAAAAAAUGCGAAAUAGCCCUUUCACCGUACAUUUGACAGAUACGCCCGCACUGACUUUUUUGUAGAUCUUAUUGAGAUACAUGUGUGUGUCAAUUUUUGUGUCAAUAUGACAAAGCGUAAAGGCGUGACAGUCAAUAGUGUGAAUUUUCGCCUUAGGAGACAAGAAAAAAUGGACUUUUUUCUCCUGCCAUGGGGGGGCGCUCUUUUGGGGAGUAAAAAUUCCUUCACAAAUGUGUUGAUGGCUGGACAUUGCAUCAUCCUAGAAAACUUGGAGGCCAGUGAGGACAAAAAUAAAAAGUUAUACGACUUUUAAGAAUGUGGAUUUCUGGGUUAUCUUUGGCGCCCCCUAGAACGUAAACCGUGGGAUGCAGCGUCAUGAUUUGUACAACUUUUAAUGGCCAUGGGGUGUAGAUUGGCCUGAGCAAAUUUGGUGCCGGUGGAACGAAAGCCUUCGGAGGAGUUAGCGAAAUUCCAAUGUGUGUGGAUCGGCAAAAAAUGCGAAAUAGCCCUUUAACCGUACAUUUGACAGAUACGCCCGCACUGACUUUUUUGUAGAUCUUAUUGAGAUACACGUGUGUGUCAAAUUUUGUGUCAUUUUGACAAAGCGUACAGGCGUGACACUCAAUCAUGUGAAUUUUUCACCUUAGGGGGCGCUAUGGAGCCAUUUUGCAUUUGAUUUUUUGGGCGACUUCAGAAUAUCGAAUUUUUCACCAGGCCCGGUCGUCCUGCCAAAUUUCAUGACUUUUCACCAGUGGGAAGUGGGCCAUUUUCCAGUUCAAAGGGGCAGAAAAAUAACUAGGGCCCCGUUGGGGCACUGGCGGGCCCGAGCCGUGUCGCGCCACCCCCAGCGCGA
rnacentral:lncRNA from 1 species